GAAAAUGGCAGACAGCAAACACGUUGCGAGAUUAUUGUUAUCAGUAUGUUUCAAGGGUUGUGAUUGUUAGAUCGUUUAAGUACAGAUUAGUACAGGUGUUAUGUUUAUAUUUACAUGUACUUCUAUCCACGAUCACGGUAACACCUGAUGAAUUAUGUGUAACAGGACAGACUGACUGGUCAUUGGCAUCUCACGUCAGCUAGCGCGUCGACCGUGUACGGUGUAGUGACAUAUCACUCGAACUACCACAUUUCUUCCCCUGAUAUUGAAAACAUCAACCCAUUAUUUUUUCCUAGUUUCAACCCAAGGAUAAAAUGACCUGGGUGAUAUCAACUGCAGUAUUAGGGGACCUGCUGUCACGAAUGACUGUGAGACAUUGUCAUGCCAUGUCAUAUGUCAUAAGUGGCACUGUGAGCCAGAGACCCAUAGUUCCAUUACCAGAAUCUGCAGUCAGAUGAACUACUGACUAUAGGAGAUCUAAACUGUCAGUGACAAUCUAUCCCUCUGACUUGGAUUUUCUGACAAUUAGAUGUCAACAGCCUCUGAUUGUUUGUUCCUGUAUAGUAUGAUUUCAGAUAAAUAACCCAUACAUUUUUUAAAAGGAAA